CCCACCCCGCACCCGCCCUCUGCAGCCGGAGCGGCUUCGCCUGAGGCGGCGGCUGAGGCGGCCGAAGCGUCGCCGGGGGUCGUGGUCGCCGGCCCUGCGGCGGCCCGCUGUCAGUCUGCUCCCGUCCCGGGCCGGCGGGCGAUGGUGCGGCGGAGCGCGCGGACGCGGGCGGCGCGGCGGCGGGCAUGAGGGAGGAUGGAAGGGCAAGAUGAGGUGUCGGCGCGGGAGCAGCACUUCCACAGCCAAGUGCGGGAGUCCACGAUAUGUUUCCUUCUUUUUGCCGUUCUCUACGUUGUUUCCUACUUCAUCAUUACGAGAUACAAGAGAAAAUCAGAUGAACAAGAAGAUGAAGACGCCAUAGUCAACAGGAUUUCGUUGUGUUUGAGCACGUUCACGCUGGCGGUGUCGGCCGGGGCGGUUUUGCUUUUACCCUUCUCCAUAAUCAGCAACGAGAUCCUGCUCUCCUUUCCUCACAACUACUACAUUCAGUGGCUGAAUGGCUCCCUGAUUCAUGGUCUGUGGAAUCUUGCUUCCCUCUUUUCCAACCUCUGUUUAUUUGUGCUGAUGCCCUUUGCCUUUUUCUUCCUGGAAUCAGAGGGUUUUGCUGGCCUGAAAAAGGGAAUCCGAGCCCGAAUUUUAGAGACUCUGGUCAUGCUUAUUCUUCUCGCGUUGCUUAUUCUUGGGAUAGUGUGGGUCGCCUCCGCGCUCAUUGACAAUGACGCUGCCAGCAUGGAGUCUUUGUAUGAUCUCUGGGAGUUCUACCUACCCUAUUUAUAUUCCUGUAUAUCUUUGAUGGGAUGUUUGUUACUUCUCUUGUGCACCCCCGUCGGCCUCUCCCGCAUGUUCACAGUGAUGGGGCAGUUGCUGGUGAAGCCAACGAUUCUUGAAGACCUGGAUGAACAAAUUUAUAUUAUUACCCUGGAAGAGGAAGCACUCCAGAGACGACUAAAUGGACUGUCUUCAUCAGUGGAAUGCAAUAUAACGGAGUUGGAACAAGAACUUGAAAAUGUGAAGACCCUUAAGACAAAAUUAGAGAGGCGAAAAAAAGCUUCAGCAUGGGAAAGAAAUUUGGUGUAUCCCGCUGUUAUGGUUCUCCUUCUUAUUGAAACAUUCAUCUCGGUCCUCCUGGUGGCCUGUAAUAUUCUUUGCCUGUUGGUUGAUGAAACAGCCAUGCCAAAGGGAACAAGGGGCCCUGGGAUAGGAAAUGCUUCUCUGUCUGCUUUCGGUUUUGUGGGAGCUGCACUUGAGAUCAUUUUGAUUUUCUAUCUUAUGGUGUCCUCUGUCGUCGGUUUCUAUAGCCUCCGGUUUUUCGGAAACUUUAUUCCCAAGAAGGAUGACACAACUAUGACAAAGAUCAUUGGGAAUUGUGUGUCCAUCUUGGUCUUGAGCUCUGCCCUGCCUGUGAUGUCAAGAACACUGGCCCCUGUUCAGAGGUCUUCAGAUCUUGCGUGCGUAUGUGGACAUAGCUGGUGCCUCCGCGGGAGUUGUGAAGUCCUCACCUGGGGUUACCUGGAUCCUAACUCUUUGGUCAGCGUUCUUGUUUCUUCUGUUGACUCCUGACUUCUGUGUGCUGUCCAGUGGGAAUUAAAAGAGGAAAAGGUUUCGAGAUCAUUUCCUGUACUGGAACUCAGUCGUCUGGCUGCAUAAGCUUCACUUAUCAGACACGUCAAGGGAUUCAGAAACAUCAAAGCCGUCUGCAAACGGGCAUCACAAAGCACUGUGAGAACGCGCAGCGCUCUGCCACUGACCCGGGAGCCCCCGGCUCCCGACCGCCCCGUCGGUCAGAAAUGACUCGCCCCCGGCGGUGCCUCCCGGUGAGCGCCCGGGCCUGGCGGCGCCACCGCUUUCACAGUCUCCUAAGAACUCGGCCGCCACAGGCCACGUGUCCGUUUCACUCCGUGCGGACGCCCUACUCGCCGGCCAGACAGGCUCCUCGGGGCGGCACGUUCUUCUGUGGACGCGGGUGCUGGCGUCGGUUGGUACAGUGACCCAGACGAGCAUGUUUUAAGGCCAACUCCGGGGCUUUCUAAGAAUUCAGUUAAAUCCCAUGAUAUACUUUAUUCAAGACGGAGAAGGCCGCGAGGAAGGCAUCCUUGGUGCUUGGCUGUGAAGUGAAGGCCCUGCAGACACGCAGGCUUACGGCUGCCCCCGUUGCGGAGGCGCAUGGGAACGGCAGCGCUUGCAAAUGAGAUUUCUCCCCUCCUUAGGGAAAAGGACAAAAGCCUAGUUCCGGUUUUUGUUUCAGGGCGAUAGCGAUUGGACUUUGAGUCCAGGGAGAAAGGCGAAAUUCUUUUAAAACCCGAUCCGUGGGAGAACACGUGGGAACGCCUGCCACCGCGCGGUGUAGUCGGCUCGGCCGGAAGUAGUACGUGGUCACCGUUCUCCGACGUCUCACGUGUAUGCGACUCAGUAUUACCUCUCGUAACAUAGUUGCCGGUGUUGAAUACACUUGUAACUUAGAUUUUGCCUUAUAGGCUAUGUGUACACUCGGUUUUCUAAAGCAUUUCUUCAGAUAUCUCUCAGCUCCUUGUUCUCCUGUGUCCCAUUAUGAAACUACAAAUCAUCUGUGGUAGAAACCCCGCUGUCACCACACUCUUCAGGCUUUGGUUCCUUUCGUAUAUGCCGAUUUAAACCUCAGAUUUAUAAAAGUUACCAGGUUACCACCCAGGUGCACAGUAUCAGCGUUCAUGAUGUAAGACUAGCUCUACGAUGUAUCGUGAUCAGAUAAUCACUCAGUUACUGAAUUGUAAAUAAUUCUUGGGAUGGCUUCUUGACUUUAAGUCCACUGAAUAAAACUAUAAAAUUGUACUCUGUGUUACCAGGCACUAGGAUAGGGUACUGAAAAUUGUGCAUGCAGACACGUGACACGAGCCCCUUUGCACACAAUUCAUAGUUACGCAGUCUCCGGAAACACUUACGUUUACAUGCACUAUGUGUAUGGCAAUAGAUUGUCUGUGUUCAGACAAAAGUAAAAGAACAGUUUUCUCGAGUUGUUUUUUGGAGAAAUUUAUGAAAAUCCGGCUGUAUAUAUUUGACAUAAAAAAUUUCCAUUUGGAGCCAAAAUAAUAAGAAAAAUUAAUCUGUAUAUUCCUCAGUUCCAUUGAGUAUACCUCUCCUUUAUUUAUACCUCUGCAUUUCCUUCUGAGCUUCUCUGCUUGUUAAGAUGCAGCUUCGUUGUAAAAUAAAAGACCAUUUUGUGAUUCUAAACAACACUCAGUAAAUACCACCAGUGUAGCAUUGGGAAUCUCUCAGCAUGAGACCUGCAUAGUGAGCAAAUGAACAGAAGAUGGCUAUUUCCUAAUUUCACUGAUAAUUACACCUAUUUAAACAUUAAUUGCAAGCUUUGAUUUUUACUGAAACUUGCUUGCAAUCCAUAUUUUGAACAGACCUGGUCAAGGAAAGAAGAGAAAAGAAAGUUCUUUCAGUAAAAGAACAUCACUUGUAACUUAACAUCCAUGGGAAGUUCCUGGGUGUUUGUAAGAUGUCUGAGAAUUUCUGAGUCAAAUAUUAAACUUUUCAAUGUCUGUAUCAA